CCCAGACUCCUACGGGAGGCAGCAGUGGGGAAUAUUGCACAAUGGGGGAAACCCUGAUGCAGCGACGCCGCGUGAGCGAAGAAGUAUUUCGGUAUGUAAAGCUCUAUCAGCAGGGAAGAAAAAAAUGACGGUACCUGAGUAAGAAGCACCGGCUAAAUACGUGCCAGCAGCCGCGGUAAUACGUAUGGUGCAAGCGUUAUCCGGAUUUACUGGGUGUAAAGGGAGCGUAGGCGGCGCGUUAAGUCUGAUGUGAAAACCCGAGGCUCAACCACGGGAGUGCAUUGGAAACUGGCGGGCUGGAGUGCCGGAGAGGUAAGCGGAAUUCCUAGUGUAGCGGUGAAAUGCGUAGAUAUUAGGAGGAACACCAGUGGCGAAGGCGGCUUACUGGACGGCAACUGACGCUGAGGCUCGAAAGCGUGGGGAGCAAACAGGAUUAGAUACCCGGGUA
rnacentral:rRNA from 1 species